rnacentral:rRNA from 1 species
GAUCUGGCUCAGGAUGAACGCUAGCGGCAGGCUUAACACAUGCAAGUCGAGGGGCAGCGUGGGGCAGCAAUGCUCCGACGGCGACCGGCGGAAGGGUGCGUAACACGUGAGCGACUUGCCCGUCACAGGGGGAUAACCGGCGGAAACGGCGACUAAUACCCCAUAUGAUGUGAUGCUGCAUGGCAUCGCAUUGAAAGAUUCAUCGGUGGCGGAUAGGCUCGCGGG